GAGUUUCACCAAAUUAUCCUGCGGGCAAAGUCCAGGAAGAAGCGUGAACGGAUAUGACAUGGCCAUUCGUGGUCUCGGGAAGACCGGACUCUGACACCAAAGAAGUUUCCGCAGCCAACAGACUAUGUGGAACCACCGCUUAAAUCGGACUGGAACUCACUUGAUGGGAUUAUUCGUUAAAUGCGAGUGUUUGGGGGCCACGGAGAGAAGGGAGAGCUCGUGAGAUGGGAAGAAGUUUCCGCUGGAUUCUCCUUGACCCUUCCCCUUUCCCUGGAACUGUGAUCGUGACAGGUGGCGGGUGUGGCUGUCACUGCACAGCGCCCACGGCUACAGCUGCGCCGGAUCUGGGCGACCACGUUUUGCCUCUCCAAAAAGAGCUUCCUUUCGUGACGAGACGCGGACGCAGGUCCACCCUCGGGCCCUAGCUCUGUAGACUAACUCUCGGCUGCUGCCCC
rnacentral:lncRNA from 1 species